rnacentral:misc_RNA from 1 species
GAUGAAGAACGCAGCGAAAUGCGAUAAGCAAUGUGAAUUGCAGAAUUCAGUGAAUCAUCGAAUCUUUGAACGCACAUUGCGCCCCUUGGUAUUCCGAGGGGCAUGCCUGUUCGAGCGUCAUAUUAACCACUCCCGCUUGCGGGGUCUUGGGCUUCGCCUCCGGGCGGGCCUUAAAAUCAGUGGCGGUGCCGUCGGGCUCUACGCGUAGUAAAUUUUCUCGCGAUAGGGUCCCGGUGGAUGCUUGCCAACAACCCCCAACUUCUUAAGGUUGACCUCGGAUCAGGUAGGGAUACCCGCUGAACUUAAGCAUAUCAAUAAGCGGAGGA